AAAAAUGAAAGAGAAACAAUGAAUAGUAGUUGAUUAUUGCGUUUUUGUAUUUCCUGCCAUUUGCCCUUGUCUUAUUUUUUUGGUGUCCCUU
rnacentral:ribozyme from 14 species